GACGAACGCUGGCGGCGUGCUUAACACAUGCAAGUCGAACGGAAAGGCCCUGCUUUUGUGGGGUGCUCGAGUGGCGAACGGGUGAGUAACACGUGAGUAACCUGCCCUUGACUUUGGGAUAACUUCAGGAAACUGGGGCUAAUACCUGAUAGGAGCUCCUGCUGCAUGGUGGGGGUUGGACAGUUUCGGCGGUUGGGGAUGGACUCGCGGGUUAUCAGCUUGUUGGUGGGGUAGUGGCUUACCAAGGCUUUGACGGGUAGCCGGCCUGAGAGGGUGACCGGCCACAAUGGGCCUGAGAGACGCACCAGACGCCUACGGGAGGCAGCAGUGGGGAAUAUUGCACAAUGGGCGGAAGCCUGAUGCAGCAACGCUGCGUGCGGGAUGACGGCCUUCGGGUUGUAAACCGCUUUCGCCUGUGACGAAGCGUGAGUGACGGUAAUGGGUAAAGAAGCACCGGCUAACUACGUG
rnacentral:rRNA from 1 species